rnacentral:rRNA from 1 species
CGCGCCGCCGAGGAGGAGAAGCAGCGCGCCAUGCGGGACCACGCCGCCGCCAAGGAGCGCGCCAGCGGCGAAGAGACGGAGGACCGCAACGGCGGUCACAGCCCUGCCCCUGCGGGCGGCCACGGUGAGUAAUGAGGAGCGCGCGUCCCGCCGACCCGAGCGACUGAGUGAUCCAGCAGUUAUACGUAUUCUUAUGGUGUUAACCGUGUCGUGUGUGUUUUCCGUAACUCGGGUAUUGAUGAUGUUUUCCGCUGCUGCUUGUGAUCUGUAAUCGAACGAGACAUGUGUAUAAAAUUGUUAGUACGGUACAAUUGUCAGCAGAACGAAUGGUGUUUACGAGACUGAAC